AGCGAACGCUGGCGGCAGGCUUAACACAUGCAAGUCGAGCGGGCACUUCGGUGUCAGCGGCAGACGGGUGCGUAACACGUGGGAACGUACCCUUCGGUUCGGAAUAACGCUGGGAAACUAGCGCUAAUACCGGAUACGCCCUUCUGGGGAAAGAUUUACUGCCGAAGGAUCGGCCCGCGUCUGAUUAGCUAGUUGGUAGGGUAAUGGCCUACCAAGGCGACGAUCAGUAGCUGGUCUGAGAGGAUGAUCAGCCACACUGGGACUGAGACACGGCCCAGACUCCUACGGGAGGCAGCAGUGGGGAAUAUUGGACAAUGGGCGCAAGCCUGAUCCAGCCAUGCCGCGUGAGUGAUGAAGGCCUUAGGGUUGUAAAGCUCUUUUGUCCGGGACGAUAAUGACGGUACCGGAAGAAUAAGCCCCGGCUAACUUCGUG
rnacentral:rRNA from 1 species